GACGAACGCUGGCGGCGUGCUUAACACAUGCAAGUCGAACGGAAAGGCCCUGCUUUUGUGGGGUGCUCGAGUGGCGAACGGGUGAGUAACACGUGAGUAACCUGCCCUUGACUUUGGGAUAACUUCAGGAAACUGGGGCUAAUACCGGAUAGGAUCUCCUGCUGCAUGGUGGGGGUUGGAAAGUUUCGGCGGUUGGGGAUGGACUCGCGGCUUAUCAGCUUGUUGGUGGGGUAGUGGCUUACCAAGGCUUUGACGGGUAGCCGGCCUGAGAGGGUGACCGGCCACAUUGGGCCUGAGGUACGGCCCAGACUCCUACGGGAGGCAGCAGUGGGGAAUAUUGCACAAUGGGCGGAAGCCUGAUGCAGCAACGCCGCGUGCGGGAUGACGGCCUUCGGGUUGUAAACCGCUUUCGCCUGUGACGAAGCGUGAGUGACGGUAAUGGGUAAAGAAGCACCGGCUAACUACGUG
rnacentral:rRNA from 1 species